UGCGGGCUGGUGCAGUCGGCAGCACGCCGCGCUCUGGACGCGGAGGUGGGGGUUCGAAUCCUCCGCCCGCAG
rnacentral:tRNA from 1 species